rnacentral:rRNA from 1 species
GAUGAACGCUGGCGGCGUGCCUAAUACAUGCCAGUCGAGCGAACGGACGAGAAGCUUGCUUCUCUGAUGUUAGCGGCGGACGGGUGAGUAACACGUGGAUAACCUACCUAUAAGACUGGGAUAACUUCGGGAAACCGGAGCUAAUACCGGAUAAUAUUUUGAACCGCAUUUUUCAAAAGUGAAAGACUGUCUUGCUGUCACUUAUAGAUGGAUACGCGCUGCAUUAGCUAGUUGGUAAGGUAACGGCUUACCAAGGCAACGAUGCAUAGCCGACCUGAGAGGGUGAUCAGCCACAGGGGAUCUGAAAAACGGUCCGGCCCCCGACGGGAGGCAGCAGAGGGGAACCUACCGCAAUCGGCGAUAGCCUGACGGAGAAACGCGAGGUAAGUGAAGAAGGUCUUCGGAUCGUAAAACUCUGUUAGUAGGGAAGAACAUAUGUAUAAGUAACUGUGCGAAUCUUAAGGAUACCGAAUCAGAAUGCCACGGCCAACUACGU